AGAUUUUCUGGAAGCAUCAGCUGC
rnacentral:siRNA from 1 species